ACUUUGGGAGGCAGAGGCGGGUGGAUCACGAGGUCAGGAGUUCAAGACCAGCCUGGGCCGAGAUGGUGAAACCCCAUGUCUGCUAAAAAUACGAAAAUUAGCCGGGAGUAGUGGUGGUGCUCCUGUAAUCCCAGCUACUCAGGAGGCUGAGGCAGGAGAAUCACUUGAUCCCGGGGGGCAGAGGUUGUAGUGAGCCAAGAUCAUACCAUUGCACUCCAGCCUGGGUGGCAGAGUGAGACUCCGUCUCAAAAAAAAAAAAAGAAAAGGAGACUGCCUAAGAGGAUGGACAGAUGGACACUGGGUGAGCAGAGUGGCCUGGCCGCUGGCACACCUCCCUGGGCAGGACCGGGCAGCCCCCAGAGGGGCUUCAGGAGUGACCGGGCCUCGCCUCCCCACCACGGGCUAGGGUGGACAUUUGGGGCCUUCUGGGGCCAAAGUGCAGAAUGCUGGGGAUGCAGGUGGCUUGGAUGUUCUCUGACUUUGUUGCUGGGAUCUCAGCUAAAGAGUGUCUGCGCUAUGGCUUCUUUGCAGGAGAAGUUUUCAGGUUGCUGGAGGAAGAGGGCGUCUCCCUCCCCGACCUGGAACCAGCCCCUCUGGACAGCCUGUGCAGCGGUGCGUCUGCAGAGGAGCCCACCAGCCAUCGGGGAGGGGGCUCAGGGGGCUACCUGGAACACGUGUUCCGGCACGCGGCCCGAGAGCUCUUUGGAAUCCAUGUGGCUGAGGUUACCUACAAACCCCUGAGGAACAAGGACUUCCAGGAGGUGACACUGGAGAAGGAGGGCCAGGUGCUGCUGCACUUUGCGAUGGCGUAUGGCUUCCGCAACAUCCAGAACCUGGUGCAGAGGCUCAAGCGUGGGCGCUGCCCCUACCACUACGUGGAAGUCAUGGCCUGCCCCUCAGGCUGCCUGAACGGCGGGGGCCAGCUGCAGGCCCCAGACAGGCCCAGCAGAGAGCUCCUCCAGCACGUGGAGAGACUGUACGGCAUGGUCCGGGCUGAGGCGCCCGAGGACGCGCCUGGGGUUCAGGAGUUGUACACACACUGGCUGCAGGGCACGGACUCGGAGUGUGCGGGUCGCUUGCUGCAUACGCAGUACCAUGCCGUGGAGAAGGCCAGCACUGGCCUGGGCAUCCGGUGGUAGGGGCUGCAAGACCAGAACUCCCAGGAGGCCGUGUCCACGUGUGACAGCGGAACCACAUGCCCCAAGGCCCCAGGGCUUCCCGCAAAAUUCUGAGUGAGCUACAGGGUGUGCUGGGACCCGAGUAGGAGCUAGGACUGGCCGGGACCUGCGGCCGCCUCGUCACCUCCACUUGGGUGCCUCUGGGUUCCUGCUGGCUCUGCCCAGGUGGGGUGGGG
rnacentral:sRNA from 1 species